GGGCUUUCCAUAGCGGCCGCGAGUGCCUAUAUUGUGCCUGCCUCCCGAAAGGGCGGCUAUGGCGAUAAACGGACGUCACAAUAAACCUUUCGGACCCGGGGGCAGUACCCGGCGCCUCCACCACAGGCCGCAAAUGAGCAAUGCGGCCGGUGAUGGGGGCGAACUAGGAUCGACGAGGGCGUAAAAGGCGUGCUUUUGCCCGAGAUGGUUCCGUCGUAACGGGCCAAAUUAUAGUUGCCAACGACAACUAUGCUCCGGUUGCUCAAGCCGCGUAAUGCGGUGCGAGUGCCGAAAUCAAAGCCCUCGGUCUUAGCCGACUGAGGCGGGGUUCGCAGGCACCUGGCAACAGAAGCCUGCACU
rnacentral:tmRNA from 1 species